rnacentral:lncRNA from 1 species
CGCGUGUCGUCUUCUCCAGCGUUCUGCCUCUUCGACCCAAAUGACCAUUCGCCGAAAAACCAAUCGCGCAGCACCAGACACACCACCCUCACCCUUCACCCGUAUACCAGCUCCUCCAUUCACCUCGCAGCUUGCCGGAAUCCUGUAACCACCAGUAGUUAAGGCUUACACGCCCAGAAUCACCACACACACACAUGAAAGCACACUGAGAUACGCAAUUACUUUAGCUUCGUUAAGAUGAUUUUGAUUUUCACUUCUGUCAUGGAGUUCCUUUAAAUUUUGAAUGUUUGUUUUUUUGUUCUGAUUUCAAUGGAGAUUGAUUCAGUUUCGUGGAUGGAGUUUGUCUGAGUUUUAUUUCUUCUUCGUUGGUCCGAUGGUGACUGUUCGAGGUUGAAGUUCAUUGUUCUAAUCUGAAAUUCACUAUUCUCAUUUGCUCGUGUUGGUUCAAGCAUCAGCUGUUUCGAAUUUGGGGUUGUAACACUUGCUCGAUUGCUGUCUCGUGUAUUACUGAAUAUUUCAUCAAUCGAAAGUUCGAUUUUUUCAGUUUCCAUAGUUGCUGAAAUUCUAUUAAUUGAAAAGCAAUUUCAGUCCUUAAACUUCAUUUUGCUGCUGGGUUCUAUUGAUUUGAGUCCAUUUUGGAGCUCACUUGCGAGACCUGUUCGAAACUGGGUGUUGAGGUCGUCAAGUAAGCUCUGUUGGUGUAGCCUGGUUCAACUAUGCUUGCUCGAAUACAUCGUCCAGCAUAGUUCUAGACGUCCGUUCGUUUCAUCAAUGCGACGUUACAGUGACGAGGUGAAUCUAAUUUGUUCGAUACGCCAUGAUAAAUUUUGUUCAUUAGCACGCAACUUCUUUAAUCAGCAAUUUGAAGGUGUGUUUUCAGUUCUUAAUGUUAAUACUCACUAUGUAUUCUUUCUUUUAAUGAAAGGGUUGUAGUAAGUUCUGUAUACGUAGUUUUAUGACCUCUAUAAUUUCAUAUCAUGUCAUGGCUUUUGAAUUAUUUUGUUUGACUUCAUUUGUUUCCGUCUGACUUGUUUGCCUA